rnacentral:rRNA from 1 species
GAAUGACUCUCGGCAACGGAUAUCUCGGCUCUCGCAUCGAUGAAGAACGUAGCGAAAUGCGAUACUUGGUGUGAAUUGCAGAAUCCCGUGAACCAUCGAGUCUUUGAACGCAAGUUGCGCCCGAAGCCAUUAGGUCGAGGGCACGCCUGCCUGGGCGU